rnacentral:rRNA from 1 species
GAUGAACGCUGGCGGCGUGCCUAAUACAUGCAAGUCGAGCGAACAGACGAGGAGCUUGCUCCUCUGACGUUAGCGGCGGACGGGUGAGUAACACGUGGAUAACCUACCUAUAAGACUGGGAUAACUUCGGGAAACCGGAGCUAAUACCGGAUAAUAUAUUGAACCGCAUGGUUCAAUAGUGAAAGACGGUUUUGCUGUCACUUAUAGAUGGAUCCGCGCCGCAUUAGCUAGUUGGUAAGGUAACGGCUUACCAAGGCAACGAUGCGUAGCCGACCUGAGAGGGUGAUCGGCCACACUGGAACUGAGACACGGUCCAGACUCCUACGGGAGGCAGCAGUAGGGAAUCUUCCGCAAUGGGCGAGAGCCUGACGGAGCAACGCCGCGUGAGUGAUGAAGGUCUUCGGAUCGUAAAACUCUGUUAUUAGGGAAGAACAAAUGCGUAAGUAACUAUGCACGUCUUGACGGUACCUAAUCAGAAAGCCACGGCUAACUACGUG